AUUGAACGCUGGCGGCAGGCCUAACACAUGCAAGUCGAACGGUAACAGGAAGCAGCUUGCUGCUUCGCUGACGAGUGGCGGACGGGUGAGUAAUGUCUGGGAAACUGCCCGAUGGAGGGGGAUAACUACUGGAAACGGUAGCUAAUACCGCAUAACGUCGCAAGACCAAAGAGGGGGACCUUAGGGCCUCUUGCCAUCGGAUGUGCCCAGAUGGGAUUAGCUAGUAGGUGGGGUAACGGCUCACCUAGGCGACGAUCCCUAGCUGGUCUGAGAGGAUGACCAGCCACACUGGAACUGAGACACGGUCCAGACUCCUACGGGAGGCAGCAGUGGGGAAUAUUGCACAAUGGGCGCAAGCCUGAUGCAGCCAUGCCGCGUGUAUGAAGAAGGCCUUCGGGUUGUAAAGUACUUUCAGCGGGGAGGAAGGGAGUAAAGUUAAUACCUUUGCUCAUUGACGUUACCCGCAGAAGAAGCACCGGCUAACUCCGUG
rnacentral:rRNA from 1 species